GGGGAUGUAGCUCAAAUGGUAGAGCGCUCGCUUCGCAUGCGAGAGGCAGCCGGAUCGAUGCCGGCCAUUUCCA